GGUCAAUUUCCUGUCCUCAACCUUAAAGCAACCUCUGAAAAUAACCCACUCAUUUCCGAGACCCACCUAAAAAUCACCUCAGUUUUGACAAGAUAUUUAAUGUCACACUUUUUUAUAAAUUAAUGUGGUAAGAAAAGAGUUGAUUUCUCCAUGUGUCAAGAGAAAGACAAAAUUUUUCUGCUAAUUAUGAUGGCACACUGUGAAUAGGAAAUAAAGUAAUACUGUACCUCUGUCCACAGAAGGAAAGUAUUCACGAGAAAAAACAAAACUAAAACCCUGCAC
rnacentral:lncRNA from 1 species